rnacentral:rRNA from 1 species
AGCAGUAGCCGCGGGAAUACGAAGGGGGCUAGCGUUGUCCGGAUUUACUGGGCGUAAAGCGCACGCAGGCGGAUCGAUCAGUCAGGGGUGAAAUCCCAGAGCUCAACUCUGGAACUGCCUUUGAUACUGUCGAUCUGGAGUAUGGAAGAGGUGAGUGGAAUUCCGAGUGUAGAGGUGAAAUUCGUAGAUAUUCGGAGGAACACCAGUGGCGAAGGCGGCUCACUGGUCCAUUACUGACGCUGAGGUGCGAAAGCGUGGGGAGCAAACGGGAUUAGAUACCCGAGUAGUCCCUGUCUCUUAUAC